rnacentral:rRNA from 1 species
UACGUAGGGACCGAGCGUUGUCCGGAUUCAUUGGGCGUAAAGAGCUCGUAGGCGGCCACUCAAGUCGAAUGUGAAACCUCGAGGCUUAACCUCGAGCCUGCAUUCGAUACUGGGCGGCUAGAGUCUGGUAGGGGGAUCUGGAAUUCCUGGUGUAGCGGUGGAAUGCGCAGAUAUCAGGAGGAACACCUGUGGCGAAGGCGGCCGACUGGGCCGACCCUGACGCUGAGGCGCGAAGGCGUGGGGAGCGAACGGG